CUUCCGCUCCACGUAGUUGGACGGCCUCAACUUUUGCACUUCCAUGUCCAUCUUUGCAUUGCCCAAUUUUUGCAAGACUCUCCUGCUAAGGUGCUCUAGCUGGAAUUCUCCACCCUCAACAUUUGAUCAGGUUCCUCAUCCUCUACCAUCCCCCAGGUGACAGCUGAUCACCCCGUCCUGCCUUCAGAAGAAUCCUGUUCGUGUGUUGGAAGCAGGCUGUGUGCACUGCUAUUCUCGGGAGCAAAGAAGCAUCUUCUCUGUGGCUGCUCCCACUGAGCAUGGCUGACUCUUACAAGGCAGCAGCUUCUGAUUAACCAUUUUUAAGUGUACAGUUCAGUGGCCUUAAGUACAUUCACCCUGUUGUGCAAACAUCAACAUCAUCUAUCUGCAGAACUAUUUUCAUCUUGAAAAACUGGAAUAGGGAUUGCCCUAAUGUCUUCCACGGAGCUGCAUCUACAAUGCCACCAACAGUACACAAGGGUGCCAAGUUCUCUACGUCCUUGUCAACGCCUGUUAUUGUCUGCUUUUUGACAGCAGUCAUCCUAUUGGGUGUAACGUAUACAUCAAUUUCUUAACUGAACAGUAUUUGUACUGCAUCCUCAAUAGAAUUUAUUAGCACAUAGCAAUUCUCAAUAAAAAGAAAAAUUUUAUACU
rnacentral:antisense_RNA from 1 species